rnacentral:rRNA from 1 species
UACAGAGGUCUCAAGCGUUGUUCGGAUUCAUUGGGCGUAAAGGGUGCGUAGGUGGCGCGUUAAGUCCGUUGUGAAAUCCCUUGGCUCAACCAAGGAAAUGCUUCGGAUACUGGCGUGCUUGAGGCUAGUAGGGGUGACUGGAACUGACGGUGGAGCGGUGAAAUGCGUAGAUAUCGUCAGGAACGCCGAUGGUGAAGACAGGUGACUGGGCUAGUUCUGACACUGAGGCACGAAAGCGUGGGGAGCGAACGGG